ACUCCUACGGGAGGCAGCAGUGGGGAAUAUUGCACAAUGGGGGAAACCCUGAUGCAGCCAUGCCGCGUGUGUGAAGAAGGCCUUCGGGUUGUAAAGCACUUUCAGUAGGGAGGAAGGUAGUGUAGUUAACACCUGCAUUAUUUGACGUUACCUACAGAAGAAGCACCGGCUAACUCCGUGCCAGCAGCCGCGGUAAUACGGAGGGUGCGAGCGUUAAUCGGAAUUACUGGGCGUAAAGCGCAUGCAGGCGGCCUGUUAAGUCAGAUGUGAAAGCCCGGGGCUUAACCUCGGAAUUGCAUUUGAAACUGGCAGGCUAGAGUCUUGUAGAGGGGUUAGAAUUUCAGGUGUAGCGGUGAAAUGCGUAGAGAUCUGAAGGAAUACCAGUGGCGAAGGCGGCCCCUGGACAAAGACUGACGCUCAGAUGCGAAAGCGUGGGAGCAAACAGGAUUAGAUACCCCUGGUAGGUCAGUC
rnacentral:rRNA from 1 species